rnacentral:misc_RNA from 1 species
GAAAUGCGAUAAGUAAUGCGAAUUGCAGAAUUCAGCGAGUCAUCGAAUCUUUGAACGCACAUUGCGCCCGCCAGUAUUCUGGCGGGCAUGCCUGUCCGAGCGUCAUUUCACACCCGUCAAGCGAGGCUUGUGUUGGGGCCCUGCGGCUGCCGCAGGCCCCGGAAUAUAGUGGCGUGACCGCGUGCCGUGCCGAGCGUAGUAUAUAACCCUCGCUCCGGCACGGGCGGGCUCCCGGCCGUAAAACCCAUACUCAGCAAUGGUUGACCUCGGAUCAGGCAGGAAUACCCGCUGAACUUAA